rnacentral:rRNA from 1 species
GAUGAACGCUGGCGGCGUGCUUAACACAUGCAAGUCGAGCGAGAAGUUUUGAAAAGAUUCUUCGGAUGAAAUUUAAAAUGGAAAGCGGCGGACGGGUGAGUAACGCGUAGGCAACCUGCCCCAUACAAGGGGAUAGCAUUUGGAAACGAAUAUUAAUACCUUAUGAAACUUAACUAGUGCAUGCUAGGUAGGUCAAAGAUUUAUCGGUAUGGGAUGGGCCUGCGUCUGAUUAGCUAGUUGGUGAGGUAACGGCUCACCAAGGCGACGAUCAGUAGCCGACCUGAGAGGGUGAACGGACACAUUGGAACUGAGACACGGUCCAAACUCCUACGGGAGGCAGCAGUGGGGAAUAUUGCACAAUGGGGGAAACCCUGAUGCAGCAACGCCGCGUGAACGAUGAAGGCCUUUGGGUCGUAAAGUUCUGUUCUAGGUGAUGAAAACUGACAGUAACCGAGGAGAAAGCCCCGGCUAACUCCGUG